rnacentral:rRNA from 1 species
AACGAACGCUGGCGGCAUGCCUAACACAUGCAAGUCGAACGAGACCUUCGGGUCUAGUGGCGCACGGGUGCGUAACGCGUGGGAACCUGCCCUUAGGUUCGGAAUAACUCCCCGAAAGGGGUGCUAAUACCGGAUAAUGUCUUCGGACCAAAGAUUUAUCGCCUUUGGUUGGGCCCGCGUUGGAUUAGCUAGUUGGUAGUGUAAAAGCCUACCAAGGGGGAGAUCCAUAACUGGUCUGAGAGGAUGAUCAGCCACACUUGGACUGAGACCCCGCCCAGAAUUCCGCGGGAGGCAGCAGUGGGGAAUAUUGGAAAAUGGGCGAAAGCCUGAUCCAGCAAUGCCGCGUGAGUGAUGAAGGCCUUAGGGUUGUAAAGCUCUUUUACCCGGGAUGAUAAUGACAGUACCGGGAGAAUAAGCUCCGGCUAACUCCGUG